AUUGAACGCUGGCGGCAGGCCUAACACAUGCAAGUCGAGCGGAUGAGGGUAGCUUGCUAUCUGAUUCAGCGGCGGACGGGUGAGCAAUGCCUAGGAAUCUGCCUGGUAGUGGGGGGCAACGUUUCGAAAGGAACGCUAAUACCGCAUACGUCCUACGGGAGAAAGUGGGGGAUCUUCGGACCUCACGCUAUCAGAUGAGCCUAGGUACGAUUAGCUAGUUGGUGAGGUAAAGGCUCACCAAGGCGACGAUCGUUAACUGGUCUGAGAGGAUGAUCAGUCACACUGGAACUGAGACACGGUCCAGACUCCUACGGGAGGCAGCAGUGGGGAAUAUUGGACAAUGGGCGAAAGCCUGAUCCAGCCAUGCCGCGUGUGUGAAGAAGGUCUUCGGAUUGUAAAGCACUUUAAGUUGGGAGGAAGGGCAGUAAGUUAAUACCUUGCUGUUUUGACGUUACCGACAGAAUAAGCACCGGCUAACUUCGUGCCAGCCGCCGCCGUAACAC
rnacentral:rRNA from 1 species